AAUAUUCUUAAAUUCUAUUCAUUAGUCUUGUUGAUCCUAAAUACUAAUGGAUUUUUUUUUUUUUAGAAUAUUACUGAUAUUUUGCUCUCCAUUCUCUUUUAAUGUAUUCUUUAAAACUUCUCUCUCUGAAUCACACUUCUGGCAAUGCAAUAAAACAUGGUCCACUGUUUCUUCUUCCCCACAACAUCAACACUUUCCAUUAUUAUGCUUUCAAAUCACGUAGAGAGAACUGUUUAGACCAGUAUGACCAUUCCUUAGUCUUAUUAUAACCCUCUCCUCUUUCCAAUUUCAUCCUCCAGACCCUGUACUCCCAACUAAUGGAUUAUUUUUAAAGAGAUAUCUUCCUUUACUUUCUUUGUUCCAUUCAUUCUGCCACAGAUUUUUGAUUUGUCCCUUAAUCACCACUUUAGCUGACUUACUAAUUUUUACAUUUAUGCGAUUACUCCCACUCUUUAAAGCCCAUUUUGCUGCUUUAUCCGCUUUCUCCUUCCCAUCAAUUCCAACAUAGGCACAGACCCACACAAACCUAACAAACGCAUUUGGUGGUUUCUGAAUAAUGAUUGUAGUAUUUCAAACAAUUUGCAAAAUUUUUAACUCAUUAAUGCUGCAACACAAAUCUGAUGCAGUUACCACUUUCUCUGGCCUGACCUCCUCUACCCAUCAUCUCACACGUGAAAAGAGAUAUAUCAUCGGUAAGCCUUUUCCCACACUCAACAUUAAACUCAGGGAUUACUACUGCUACUGAUCUACCUAUCUAAGGGUCUUUAGAACCAUCUGUACAAAUAUGUAAAUAACCGUAGUAAUUCCUCCUGAUGUAUGAAUUAAAGAUAUUAUAAUUCCCCCCACGUCCAUCUUAUCAAUUCAAGGAGGCUAAGAACUAUCUCUGGCUGGUGCAAUAACCAAGGUGGUAUAGCUGGCAAAAGAACAGUUGGAGAGUAACGCCGAUCCAGUAUACCCAUUUCACUUGCCUUCUUUUUAACGACCCAACCAAAGCUCUUUGUUGGCCUUUUUUCAUGUUCCCAGCUUGGCUCAGUAGCACUUAUUCUAGGAUGGUUAUCAUGUCCUUGUAAAUAAACCCAAUAUGUCGUACAUACAUAUUUCACUAUAUACCCCACUACAUAUCCUUAAUACUUGUGCUUGUAUUAUAUCCAAUUUUAUCAACAAGGUUUUAAACGCCGACCCAUAUGCCACACACUCAUAAUCCAGAACUGAUCUUAUUAAAACUAUAUAUAUAUAUGUGUGUAUGUAUAUAUAUCUUUCAAAGCAGACCUGUCAGCAGACCUCUCAUCACAUUUAAAACCUUUUCACACUUAUUUACAAUAUUAUCGAUAUGUACAUUCCAGGUGAGCCUAGCAUCAAACCACACUCCUAAAAAUUUUAAUUAGUCUAUCCUUUUCAGCUCCUUGCCAUAUAAAUACAGUUGGACGUCGGCUCCAAUUUUCUUCCUUGUAUCGAAAAGUGUAUUUGUUUUCUCAACAGAAAAUUUUAAGUAAAGGGCUGUUAGACCCUUCCUUCCACUUUAAAAAUAAAAGCACAACACGUUUUCAUUACCUUUCAUUUCUACAGUAGUCCAAAACGGACAAACCAAUCACUGGCUCUAGAUGGGACCUUUCGCGUUUUUAGCGGCCACCGUAGUUUAUCCAUGCUUGGAACGGCAGGGUGGGAUAAACGGUAUUCAAAUGGUUGCAAACUGCAAUUUCACCACUUGAUGCCACUAAAUCCUACCGAACGGCAACCUCCGGGGCUGAAAAAUGAAGCCAACCCAGAAAUGCCAAAAACUGCAGUUCAUUGAAUGGCCACUUGAGACUGUCUCCAAAAGGAGGUCAUUCCCCAUAGACCCCCAUGUUAAAAUGCCCAACUUUACAGCAGAAAUAAACAUAUUUACAGCCUGAUACAAAAAACGGUUUUGGUCUCUAUAGUUAAUUAAGGCUUAAAGUUCUGCAAUUAAGGGCGUGGCCGCUUUGAGUGACAGGUGGGGGAUGCCGGUGCUAUCACCUGCUGGCAGCCCAUCAGCUCAGCCAGUCACCGAACUUGACCUCUCGGCCAAGACAGUAGGCGGAGUUGGUGGCCGGAAAGUGAGCAGGAGUCGGAAUCGAGUAGCGGGUAACUACAAACAACUGUAUUGUGAAUGUAACAAUCAUGAAUUUUGGGAGUGAGGAUGAAGGAUGGGAUCAUGGAGGCAUGGAAUGGUAGAAAAUUUAAGCAGUUCAGGGGCAGAGUCGGAUGAAAUGGCAAAGAGAGCUAGGGCAUAUCUAAGCCAGAGGACUGAAAACCAAAACAAUGACUGGAAAGUCAUAAUUGAGUUUGUUGAGCAUUUCUAUUUCAUAUUGGUGGCUAAAGCUCUGGAAAGGAUGUAGGCAAAGUGAAGUUUGCAAAGUACUUGAAUAGCAAGCGUAUACUUGUACAUACAGUGAGUCAAAAACAACAAAACGCUCUUCUGAAAAUGAAUACACUGGAUGGUAAAAAAGUAAAAACCUAUGAACCUGGCUCAGCUGCUAGAUAUAGGGGAGUCAUAUCUGGAAUACCACUAUCUGCUAAACGUAUUAAUACUAAAAGAAAUGGAGAAAGAGUAGAAACACUGUCAGUAACCAUUGACUUUGAAAACAACCUCCAAAGAAAAGUUAUGCUAGGCUUCUUCAGCUGUGUAGUAAAAGAGUUCAUUCCUCCGGCAUUAAGAUGCUUUAAAUGUCAAAGAAUGGGUCAUACUGCCAGCCAGUACAUAGGAAAAGAAAGAUGUGCAAGAUGUGGAGGUAAUCAUGCAUUUGGAAAGUGUGGGAAAGAUGUGCCAGUUAAAUGUUGCAAUUGUGGAGAAGACCACAGCGCAGCUUAUGGGAGAUGUACAGUUCAAAAGUGGAUAAAGUCAACUUUGUUGCAUUUGUAUGUAAAGUGGUGUACAUCGGAUUAAAACAAAAUGACAGGAAUGAGAGAAUCGAAAAAAUUGUGGAAGCAGCAAAAGAGUACCUUGGGAUGUCAAGUACAGAAUGUGAAACGAUACAAGAACUGAUGAACCCUUUUAUAUAUGAUGUGUCUAGUGAUUAAACUAGUAAUGGUACUUACCAUCUUUCAGUGGAAUAGCAGAUGUUUAAUAGCAAAUGGACAGGAAUUUAAGAAGGUCAUAAUAGAUUUAAAGGACACACCAGAUAUAAUAUGCAUUCAAGAAACAUGGCUGAGACCACGUCUAGAUUUUGUAUUGGCAGGAUACAAUUCAGUCAGACAUGAUAGAGCAAAUAAACAAGGGGGUGGCUGUCUCACAUUCAUUGAAGAUAAUUUAGCAUACAGAAGAAUACAUCCUUCAGGUGGACAUGACUGCACAGUUAUUGAGGUAUACAGAGCACAAGGCUCAAUCAAAAUAAUUAAUUAUUAUAAUCCAUGUCAUACUUUAACAGCAGCAGUGUUUGAGGAAAUACUGGGAGAGGAAAGAGAAGUGAUUUGCACACAAUAGUUUAUGGGGAAGUGAUCAUUCUGAUUAGAAUGGUACAGUGAUUGAAGAAGUGACAGAUACCAGAAAUCUUGUUUGUAUAAACAAUGGUAAAGGAACAAGAUUAGAUAUAAAUAGGAAUAAGAUGAGAUGUAUUGAUUUAACAUCAAAUACGUUUCUGCAAAUAUGGCUAGUCUGUGUGAAUGGAAAAUAUUCAACAAUAACAUAGGUGACCAUUUUCCCAUUAUAUGUAAUAUAAAUAUAGAUAGAUGUACCCAAGAAAGUUCUUCUAUAUAUAGAUGGUGCUUUAAAAAGGCUCAAUGGGACAAAGUUAAAGAAUGCUGCAGGGAAUUAGCUAAGUGAAAUGAAUGGAAUCAUAGAUGAAUGUGCUAGUUAAAUUACAUUUAUGACAAUUGAAGCUGCCUCAAAAAAUAUACCUAAAACUGUGAUAAGACAGGGAAUAAGAGAACUGUGCCAUGGAGGAAUGAUGAGUUUAGCGUGGAUAUUAAAGAAAGAAAUAGUGCUUUCAGAAACUUCAGAAACAACAUGAAUGUGGACCAUUUGAUGGAAUAUAAAAGGAAAAGAGCCAUAGCACACAAAAUAAUUAAAACAGCUAAAAGGAAUACCUGGAGACAAUUUUGUUCUUCUAUUGGAAGAGAGAGAGAUGUGGGUCAUGUAUGGAAUAUGGUUAAAAAGAUGAGCGGGAGAAGAAUAAGCAAUAAAAUAUCAGUACGAUCAGAGAUGGAAACAAUUUAGCAAUAACAGAUAUGGAAAAAGCCAACCUCCUAGGAAGAGUAUUUGCCAGCGUUCACAGUGGAAAUCACCUUACUGAUAUACAUAAACAAAGGAAAGAAGAAAUCCUAAAAGAUAAAGAAAAGGUGCUUGGUAAAAAGGUAAAAAUCAGCUCAGCUUUGGAUAUGGAAUUGAGGGAAAUGAGAAGGGGCAUGUCUGUGUCUGUGUUCGCCCUGCGACGAGUUGGCCACUGUCCAGGGUGUGCCCUGCCUAAGGCCCGAAGUCACUGGGAUAGGCUCCAGUCACCCGCGACCCCCUAACGGGGACCAAGCGGUAGAAAAUGGAUGGAUGGAUGGAGAAGGGGCAUUAAAGGGCAGCAGAUACAAGAUCAGUUGAGUUAUGCUAUGUUCAGUCAAUUACCAGAGGGAGCAUUAGAAAUAGUGUUAGAAUUUUUCAAUAAAAUAUGGACAGAAGGAAGACUACCUGGUAAGUGGAAGAUGGCAUUAAUUUUACCAUUUGCUAAACCAGGAAAAUAUACAUCAAAUGCUGAAAACUACAGACCAAUAGCACUAACCUCACAUUUAUGUAAAUAGGUGUAAAAAAAUAUUGUCUACAGGCUAUCAUAUCUUUUAGAAAAAGGAAGAUCCAUAGCAGAUGUUCUAAUUAAAGUAAGUAAUGAAAUUGAAAAGACCCUUAAUAUGAAGGAAAUGAUGGCUAUAGUAUUCUUUGACAUUGAGAAAGCUUAUGAUUCCAUGUGGAGAGAAUGUCUGUUAAUUAAUAUGAACAAGCUAGGCAUAGGUGGCAGGUUAUAUAGCUGGAUCAGGGAUUUUCAGAACAGAACAUGUCAAAUUAAAGUAGGAUCAGAAAUCUCAGAAAGUUUUGUUAUUAAAAAUGGGAUACCACAAGGUAGUGUCAUCAGUCCAAUUCUAUUUAAUAUAGCAAGCCCAUGGAAAAGAGUUAGUGUUUAAAUAUCUUGGUCUAUGGAUUGAUGAAAAAUACACAUGGAAGAAUCAUAUUGAAAAUAUUGAGACCAAAUGUAAAAAGGUGUUCAAUUUAAUGAGGUGUGUGGUCAGAAUUGAAUGGGGAGCUGACAAAGAAGCAUUAUUACACACAUACAGGGAUUUGAUGAGAGCUACUUUAGAUUAUGGUUGCAUGGUUUAUGAAGCAGUAGCAAAAACUCAUCUAGAAACACUUGACAGGAUACAAUGCAGAGCACUAAGUCUUAAGUGUGGGAGCAGUCAAAACCACGCCCAUUAAUGCAUGGCUUGUUGAAUCCAGUGAACUUCCAUUACAUUUGAGGAGAACUAAGUUAUCACUAACAUAUUGGAUAAGAAUACAGGGAGGAGGAGAUGGAAACUUAGCAUCAACCGUUCGACAGAACUGUUGGGAAUACACAGCAUUUUCUGGUAAAGGUUUUGUCUGGGACAUUAACAAGAAGGUGAAACAGUACAAAUUAGAUACUAUACAACACAGUCCAGCAGUUACUCACAGCAGUAUAUCCCCAUGGAUAUUUCCACAACCCAAAAUAAAUCUUCAAAUAUAAAAAAAGAGGAGAGUGGACAGAAAGGAAUAACAUUGGGUGCAUGGUUCAAGAGUAUUUGAAGAACCUUCAAUAUCAUGAAAAAGUCAGUGUCAGAUAAAUGUGAAACUGGUAAUUGCAAGGAAACUGUUGAACAUUUUUUAUUAUUCUUUUUACUCGUCGUUUGUUAGAUUUUGGUUAAAGUCAUGAUGUUACACACUCCGAUACAGCAGGUGGCGGCAUGCUCCUUUAACGUUGGUUUGUAGCCCGCCAGUAAAAUCGAAGAAGAAGAACAACAACAACAACAACAACAACAACAACAACAACAACAACAAUAAUAAUAAUAAUAACAAUAAUAACUCUCGGCCGUGUUUGUGCCUUUUGAAGACUUUCAUGAAAAUAUCUGAACAAUGAUAUGGCUUGCUAUGCUGUUAAUUGUAGGCACAGACCGUCCAAGAAGUCUGUGCUCCGGCUCCGGUGCCAGAGAGCUGAUUGCAGUAUCCAACCAGAUCUGGAGCACCUGGGCCCAGUGUUUCACAGGAUAUAGAAUUCGCAGCUUCUCUUCCCUGUCAGCGUCUGCACACUAUUGCUUUGCCUAGCAUUUUGUUUUACUUUUACUGCAGAACACCUUAUUUUACACUAUACACACACAUCCACAUAAACACUACUGAUUUCAGUGACUAUACACCUCAUAUCCAAAGUUACAGUUCACUUUAUUUUCUUUAUUACAAUAAAUAACUAUUUAUUGGCA